rnacentral:rRNA from 1 species
GGACGAACGCUGGCGGCGUGCCUAAUCCAUGCAAGUUGAGCGCUGAAGGUUGGUACUUGUACCAACUGGAUGAGCAGCGAACGGGUGAGUAACGCGUGGGGAAUCUGCCUUUGAGCGGGGGACAACAUUUGGAAACGAAUGCUAAUACCGCAUAAAAACUUUAAACACAAGUUUUAAGUUUGAAAGAUGCAAUUGCAUCACUCAAAGAUGAUCCCGCGUUGUAUUAGCUAGUUGGUGAGGUAAAGGCUCACCAAGGCGAUGAUACAUAGCCGACCUGAGAGGGUGAUCGGCCACAUUGGGACUGAGACACGGCCCAAACUCCUACGGGAGGCAGCAGUAGGGAAUCUUCGGCAAUGGACGAAAGUCUGACCGAGCAACGCCGCGUGAGUGAAGAAGGUUUUCGGAUCGUAAAACUCUGUUGGUAGAGAAGAACGUUGGUGAGAGUGGAAAGCUCAUCAAGUGACGGUAACUACCCAGAAAGGGACGGCUAACUACGUG